UGGAUGAAGACAGAGCAGUGGAGUUCGACACUAGCAUGUAUCACUUUGGUGAACAUGUGCCUCCAGCAAAGGAGAGCAAGAGCUUGAGUGAAGCUCAUAGGAACAAAAGUAAACUGCAGAAGUGGUGCAAGAAGCAGGACAAGCUGCUCGCCAAGUGUUUCAAGACUAUCAAGUUUCUGACAGAUAAGCUGAGUUGUUCCUGCUCCACUACUGCUAUUCCA
rnacentral:pre_miRNA from 1 species